GUAAGCCGUGUGCGGGAAAUCCGCACGCACGGUUUGAACGGGGGUCUUGCUGACACUCAGUCACUGACUGGAGAC
rnacentral:ncRNA from 1 species